AUUGAGCCUUUCAAAUCUGCAGUAGAACAUGUUGAGUGGUCCAAACAUCAUUGUAGCACUGCUCAGUGGAAGGAGGAGGCGAGAAGCAGAUUUCCUGGUUCAGAAAUCAUCAAAGUUUAUCUUUCUGAUUUGCUGUGCGUGGAUUCCUCCAUCUUUGCUUUUAGCUCUGAAAACAGAACAGUGUGCUGAAUGGCAUUCACGUUUUUAAUGUUCAUCGGGGAAUGUCAGUCAAUAUCAGCUGUAACUACAACCUAUCAGAUGACAUUAAGAUCUAUAGCGUAACUCUUAAUACAGAUAAUAAAUUAUGCUCAUCCAUGUUUAAUAAUAAAUCAUGGAUAUAUCAGUCAUGUCACAGAGACAUUAGAUAUAUUUGAAUUACAGAAACUGGAGGAAUAUCAGCUGAGCUGUCAAAUCUGCAGAUAAACAAUACAGGCACUUACAAAUGUGUUGUGGAAAGACAUGCACCUGCACCCACUGUGAUUUUAGCAAGAGAUCAAACUUUAAUUCAGGUUUUUGGUAAGUCAUUUUAAGAAUCUGAAAAACAGUAUUUACCCAGACUGAUGUUAGAAUCCAUACUGUUCUAUAUUUACACCUAUAACUCUGAUUUAAUGUCUUAAACCCCAUUUCUUGCACACCCUUUUGUGUCUAUAUCAUGUGUAAGAGGACCUGAUGGAUUUCUUAUGAUCCUGUGCAGCUCUGAAAGCUUUUAUCCUUCUGGUCUAGAGCAGGUGUGGCUGAGAGAUGGAGAAUUCCAGAACAUCUCUCAAACACACAUUAACAAAACCAACCCAGAUGGAUCAUUCACCCUUUAUUCAUACUUGAAUCUGUCUUCUGCCAUGUCUGAUUGUGUAAACUGCACAUGUUGUGUUAACCACUCCACCCUGAGUGAACCAGUAAUGAUCCACCUGUCCCCUACUGACUCUUAUGGGAAGAAAGAGAAGACCAAAGGUAUUUAUAAAAAACAUAUAUCAGUGUUAAAUGGUAAACAAUAUAUAGUAUACAUUGUACUAAGCUUCUACACAGUACUAAAGCUCAUUUAUAGACUAAUUCAGCAGUGUGGAGCUGAUGCAAAACAUUGAUAGAAUGUUGUGUUUACUCUAAUUCUGUUCAAGAACCUUCACUGUAUUUAAGCAAUAACUUGAUGGUGGUUCUGGUCAUUUGUGUAUUGCUGCUUCUUAUCAUCCUGAUUAUCACAGUAAUGUGUGCCCGCUUCAGUGAGUUCAAAAUAUUAUCUCAUCUCUAUUACUACAUAAUGGUGUCUAGUAAUGCAAACAUAUCAUUGGCAAGCAAUGAUGAAACAAUAAUUUGCUUUCCAGAUCUUCCAUAUUCAGUAAGUGUAAUAUUCAAUACUGUUCUCAUAUUCUUCUAGAAAGAGCCAACCACUGAUCUCCUAUGGAAGUGAAUUUCACACCUGAACCUCUCCUACUCUCUCCCCUGAAAUCUGAGAUGGUUUAUUCAUCACUAGGUGAUCAUCAUCCAGUCCCAUGCAGCAACA